CCCAGACAGUUUAGAGACAUCAUCCGAGACUGAUCCAAGAAGACCAUGUCAAACUAAGGAUGCGAGAUGAGAGCCACACAAGUGACCCCAGGCGACGAUGGCACUUCUAAGCAUAACUGGUAGACAAGGUAACAGAGGUGGAGAGACUAGCGGCUGUAGCAGCAGAGUCACUUGAUCCAGCAUCCUACGUGCCUGUGCGCUCUCCGUUACCCGCCGAUCCGGCUUGGUGUGCUUCUCCUGUUUGCGGGUUGUGUGCCACGCACUUGAUUAAGCACCCCACGUUCUCCUACAGUGCGCCCUUGACCCUGGCUUUAGGUAGCGCCAUGUCCUCGGCUUGCCGUGCAUAAUCCAGGUAUGCGCCAACUGUCCGAGCUCCUGCUCACCAUCGGUGUUGCUCGAGCGUGGGUUCUGGUGUCGCCCAUAAAGGGAACACGGGAUGUGGGAUUGAGACAGUUCACAUAGCAACCCACAGCAAGGCAAAGGAUGCCCAUCCAACUGGCAGGGAGCGGAGGUGGACCCAAAAAGGUGGAUGUUGACUCGAAGGAGUCUCAACAGUACGCUUGUCAGUAAGAGGAGCAAGAAGAUCCUGGAUAUACUUCUCUUAGCAAAUAAAGAAGCCAUCAAAGGUAGACUCAGGGAAGUAGCGAUGAGGACCAAGGUCAGACAUAAGAAACUCACUGUGACGAGCCUUCACAAAGGCAAUGUACUUAAGAGUCGUGCAGGAUCAUGAGCACCCGUUGAAAAACGAGCCUUAUUAACCACAGAGACAAUGCUCAAACCAGUCAUGAGGGGUUUGCGAAAGAGCAUAUAGAGAACGCCGAAGGCGACAAACCAUGCCGGCUGGAAAAGAAUACCCAAGUGGUGGCUACAUGUAGGCAUUGUUGACAUCAAGCUGAGAGAGAGAGAGAUAGAUAGAUAGAUAGAGAGAGAGAGAGCCUAUGUUGGCAAACAGAAGCACAUCGAAAAGUGUUCCAAAAGUGGUCAUCUGGGCCAUACAGGAGCAAAUGUCUCAUCGUAGUCAUGACUAUGUUCUCACCACUAGACGUGGUUUGUAGAGCUCUAGAGUAACAUCAUAGUCUCACCCUUGUGGGCCUAGUUACAAGUAAUGAGACGAGCAAGAGGAGGAAGGGAAAUGAGAUUCCACUAGCCGACGAGGUGAAGAGCAUUUGAUGCCAUCACAUGCUGCCAUUGUGGAUGAAAAAAAUGUCAUGAUAAGAAGUCUUCUUGUGAAGAGCACCGCAAUAACUAACCAUAGCAGUCAAUAGGCAGAAGCCGGCGAGCUCGAAAGCCAUAAGUAGGCUGAUCUGGAGCUAUGUGUUGCCAACAGAAGAAGACAUAGUAGUUGAGGGAGAUGACUCAUUAUAAGAAUCCACAACACGCGAACAAUGAGUGUAGUAAAGUCAAGGAAGAUGAGCAAAAGAAGGAACAUGCAAGACAAACUGCCAAGAGUGCCUCGACUAUCGACUGGCAGGGAAGUUACAUUGACAGUAAAAACAUGAACAUGAGAAUCUAGAUGUGGAAUACCCAAGUGGUGGCUGCACGUAAAACCCCUGACAAAAUUCACCAUUAAAAAAGUCUUUGUUAACAUCAAGCCGAGACGGAGUGACGAAUAAAGGCCGCAACAAGAUGUGUGUGAACAAUUGUCGUAUGGCCCGCAUGAGCUGAAACUCUCAUCGUAAUUAGGACCAUGAUUCUACUAAAAGCCACGAGCCACAAGACGAGCUUUGUAAUGUUCAAGAGAACCAUCAGAGCGAGUCUUAACCUUGUUGACGCACCAAGUAAUGGGACGAACACGAGGAGGAAGGGACACAAUAUCCGAUGUGCUGAUGUGCUCAACAGUAGCAAUAUCCUCUACCAUGGCAAGGCGCCAUUUGGUAUGAAAAACAUCAAGAUAAGAAGUCUGCUCAAGAAAGUGGCGCCAACGUUUCAUAGCCUAAGGCGGUCCACAUGCAAAAGUGGACGAGGUCGCAAGCCAUAAGAAGGCCGAGACGGAGAAGAUGGCACAUCAGUAGAUGCAUCCAGAACACAUGAACGACGUGUUUAAAAGUGAGGCAAAUGUGGAAGAAUACGAGCAAUAAUCCCCGAGAUAAGCUCAGGUUAUGGAGACAAGGAAGUCACCGAUGAUGAAGGUUUAAAAUCCCGUGAUAAGCGAAGUGAGGAAAUCAUAGGAGAUGAUGGUGUUGAAUCUGUAAUAAUUGGAGAAGCAGGAGCAGUACGAGGAAUGGAAUAGGGCUCAACUAUAGUGAUAAGAAUGUCGGGAAAAGUGAGGUAACACAUCCUCCACUAAAAAGGUCGGGGAUGAUGGUCACACGUAGCAGGGACGAGACUCAUUAAAAGUCAUACUGUGAGAAAUAGCACCCGAUGACCAACCUGAUCCCAACAACAAUAUCUCUUAUGGUCAUUGUUGUAUCCUAUGAACACUCAACAUACUAAGUAGUAAGUUUGGAACAUUGACGAGAGGCAGUAAGGGCACAUCAAACACAACCAAACAAUUGAAGCGCUGAAUAAUCUGGAAACGAUCAAAUAGACUCUUGAAAGGAGAUGACCAUGGUGGAAGUGGAGACGCAUUCAACCCAAAGGUGUGGCGUAAGAGAGGCAGUGACCAUCCAAAAGUGUGGCGGAAGAGAGAACAGUGAAAUUGAACCUAUGAGCCGUCUCAAUAGUUGACGAUGCUUGCCCUCAGCCAUGCCAUUUCUGAGCAUGAGCACCAAGAUAAGAGAACUGAGCAAGAGCACCCUGCUCAACAAGGAUUGAGCGCAACAUCUUGGAGAUUUAGUGUCCACCGAGUCAUCACAGAAUACAAGAAUAGGCGGUGAGAGAUACUAUGUUGGCAAACAGAAGCCACAUCGAAAAGUGUGCCAAAAGUGGUCAUCUGGGCCUUACAGGAGCAAAUGUCUCAUCGUAGUCAUGACUAUAUGUUCUCACCACUAGAUGAGCUUUGUAAAGCUCUAGAGAAACAUCAUAGCCUCACCCUUUGAUGUCAUCACAUGCUGCCAUUAUGGAUGAAAAACCGUCAUGAUAAGAAGUCGUCUUGCGAAGAGCACCACAAUAACUAACCAUAGCAGGCGAGCUCGAAAGCCAUAAGUAGGCUGAUCUGGAGCUAUGUGUUGCCAACAGAAGAAUACAUAGUAAUCGAGGGAGUUGACUCAUUAGAAGAAUCCACAAGACGCGAACAGUGAGUGUAGUAAAGUCAAGGAAGACGAGCAAAAGAAGGAACAUGAAAAGAGAAACUGCCAAGAGCGCCUCGACUAUCGACAGGUAGGGAAGUUACCAGGAUAAGAGAACUGAGCAAGAGCACCGUGCUCAACAAGGAUUGAAUGCAACAUCUUGGAGAUUUAUUCUCCACCAGAGUCAUCACGGAAUACAAGAAUAGGCGUAGGGAACUUGUUGUGUGCCAUGGCGUCAAAACGCUUACACAUAUAAGACCUCACUACGAAAGGAAAUAAAGUAUAUCCAGGUGUGUUGAGAGAAGUCAUCUAUAAAUAUAGUACUAGCGAUGACCUCCUUUCGAGGCGAAAGGAGGUGGGCCCCAGACAUCAGAGUGAACAAGGUUGAAAGGGUUGUUGAGACACUGUCUCGCUAUGAGCAUAAGGUAAGUAUAGCUGUUUACCAAGCCGACAACCCAGACAGUUUAGAGACAUCAUCCGAGACUGAUCCAAGAAGACCAUGUCAAACUAAGGAUGCGAGAUGAGAGCCACACAAGUGACCCCAGGCGACGAUGGCACUUCUAAGCAUAACUGGUAGACAAGGUAACAGAGGUGGAGAGACUAGCGACUGUAGCAGCAGAGUCACUUGAUCCAGCAUCCUACGUGCCUGUGCGCUCUCCGUUACCCGCCGAUCCGGCUUGGUGUGCUUCUCCUGUUUGUGGGUUGUGUGCCACGCACUUGAUUAAGCACCCCACGUUCUCCUACAGUGCGCCCUUGACCCUGGCUUUAGGUAGCGCCGUGUCCUCGGCUUGCCGUGCAUAAUCCAGGUAUGCGCCAACUGUCCGAGCUCCUGCUCACCAUUGGUGUUGCUCGAGCGUGGGUUCUGGUGUCGCCCAUAAAGGGAACACGGGAUGUGGGAUUGAGACAGUUCACAUAGCAACCCACAACAAGGCAAAGGAUGCCCAUCCAACUGGCAGGGAGCGGAGGUGGACCCAAAAAGGUGGAUGUUGACUCCAAGGAGUCUCAACAGGACGCUUGUCAGUAAGAGGAGCAAGAAGAUCCUGGAUAUACUUCUCUUAGCAAAUAAAGAAGCCAUCAAAGGUAGACUCAGGGAAGUAGCGAUGAGGACCAAGGUCAGACAUAAGAAACUCACUGUGACGAGCCUUCACAAAGGCAAUGUACUUAAGAGUCGUGUAGGAUCAUGAGCACCCGUUGAAAAACGAGCCUUAUUAACCACAGAGACAACGCUCAAACCAGUCAUGAGGGGUUUGCUAAAGAGCAUAUAGAUAAUGCCGAAGGCGACAAACCAUGCCGGCUGGAAAAGAAUACCCAAGUGGUGGCUACAUGUAGGAUUGUUGACAUCAAGCUGAGAGAGAGAGAGAGAGAGAGAGAGAGAGAGAGAGAGAGAGAGAGAGAGAGAGAGAGAGAGAGAGAGAGAGAGAGAGAGAGAGAGAGAGAGAGAGAGAGAGNNNNNNNNNNNNNNNNNNNNNNNNNNNNNNNNNNNNNNNNNNNNNNNNNNNNNNNNNNNNNNNNNNNNNNNNNNNNNNNNNNNNNNNNNNNNNNNNNNNNGAGAGAGAGAGAGAUAGAUAGAUAGAUAGAGAGCCUAUGUUGGCAAACAGAAGCACAUCGAAAAGUGUGCCAAAAGUGGUCAUCUGGGCCAUACAGGAGCAAAUGUCUCAUCCUAGUCAUGACUAUAUGUUCUCACCAGUAGACGAGCUUUGUAAAGCUCUAGAGAAACAUCAUAGUCUCACCCUUGUGGGCCUAGUUACAAGUAAUGAGACGAGCAAGAGGAGGAAGGGAAAUGAGAUUCCACUAGCCGACGAGGUGAAGAGCAUUUGAUGCCAUCACAUGCUGCCAUUGUGGAUGAAAAAAAUGUCAUGAUAAGAAGUCUUCUUGUGAAGAGCACCGCAAUAACUAACCAUAGCAGUCAAUAGGCAGAAGCGGACGAGCUCGAAAGCCAUAAGUAGGCUGAUCUGGAGCUAUGUGUUGCCAACAGAAGAAGACAUAGUAGUUGAGGGAGAUGACUCAUUAUAAGAAUCCACAACACGCGAACAAUGAGUGUAGUAAAGUCAAGGAAGAUGAGCAAAAGAAGGAACAUGCAAGACAAACUGCCAAGAGUGCCUCGACUAUCGACUGGCAGGGAAGUUACAUUGACAGUAAAAACAUGAACAUGAGAAUCUAGAUGUGGAAUACCCAAGUGGUGGCUGCACGUAAAACCCCUGACAAAAUUCACCAUUAAAAAGUCUUUCUUAACAUCAAGCCGAGACGGAGUGACGAAUAAAGGCCGCAACAAGAUGUGUGUGAACAAUUGUCGUAUGGCCCGCAUGAGCUGAAACUCUCAUCGUAAUUAGGACCAUGAUUCUACUGAAAGCCACGAGCCACAAGACGAGCUUUGUAAUGUUCAAGAGAACCAUCAGAGCGAGUCUUAACCUUGUAGACGCACCAAGUAAUGGGACGAACACGAGGAGGAAGGGACACAAUAUCCUCUACCAUGGCAAGGCGCCAUUUGGUAUGAAUAACAUCAAGAUAAGAAGUCUGCUCAAGAAAGUGGCGCCAACGUUUCAUAGCCUAAGGCGGUCCACAUGCAAAAGUGGAAGAGGUCGCAAGCCAUAAGAAGGCCGAGACGGAGAAGAUGGCACAUCAGUAGAUGCAUCCACAACACACGAACGACGUGUAUAAAAGUGAGGCAAAUGUGGAAGAAUACGAGCAAUAAUCCCCGAGAUAAGCUCAGGUUAUGGAGACAAGGAAGUCACCGGUGAUGAAGGUUUAGAAUCCCGUGAUAAGCGAAGUGAGGAAAUCAUAGGAGAUGAUGGUGCUGAAUCUGUAAUAAUUGGAGAAGCAGGAGCAGUACGAGGAAUGGAAUAGGGCUCAACGAUAGUGAUAAGAAUGUCGGGAAAAGUGAGGUAACACAUCCUCCACUAAAAAGGUCGGGGAUGAUGGUCACACGUAGCAGGGACGAGACUCACUAAAAGUCAUACCGUGAGAAAUAGUCACCCGAUGACCAACCUGAUCCCAACAACAAUAUCUCUUAUGCUCAUUGUUGUAUCCUAUGAACACUCAACAUACUAAGUAGUAAGUUUGGUACAUUGACGAGAGGCAGUAAGGGCACAUCAAACACAACCAAACAAUUGAAGCGCUGAAUAAUCUGGAAACGAUCAAAUAGACUCUCGAAAGGAGAUGACCAUGGUGGAAGUGGAGACGCAUUCAACCCAAAAGUGUGGCGUAAGAGAGGCAGUGACCAUCCAAAAGUGUGGCGGAAGAGAGAGCAGUGACGCUGAACCUAUGAGCCGUCUCAAUAGUUGACGAUGCUUGCCCUCAGCCAUGCCAUUUUUGAGCAUGAGCACCACGAUAAGAGAACUGAGCAAGAGCACCCUGCUCAACAAGGAUUGAGCGCACCAUCUUGGAGAUUUAGUCUCCGCCGAGUCAUCACAGAAUACAAGAAUAGGCGUAGAGAGAUACUAUGUUAGCAAACAGAAGCCACAUCGAAAAGUGUGCCAAAAGUGGUCAUCUGGGCCAUACAGGAGCAAAUGUCUCAUCGUAGUCAUGACUAUAUGUUCUCACCACUAGAUGAGCUUUGUAAAGCUCUAGAGAAACAUCAUAGCCUCACCCUUUGAUGUCAUCACAUGCUGCCAUUAUGGAUGAAAAAACGUCAUGAUAAGAAGUCGUCUUGCGAAGAGCACCACAAUAACUAACCAUAGCAGGCGAGCUCGAAAGCCAUAAGUAGGCUGAUCUGGAGCUAUGUGUUGCCAACAGAAGAAUACAUAGUAAUCGAGGGAGUUGACUCAUUAGAAGAAUCCACAACACGCGAACAGUGAGUGUAGUAAAGUCAAGGAAGACGAGCAAAAGAAGGAACAUGAAAAGAGAAACUGCCAAGAGCGCCUCGACUAUCGACAGGUAGGGAAGUUACCAGGAUAAGAGAACUGAGCAAGAGCACCGUGCUCAACAAGGAUUGAAUGCAACAUCUUGGAGAUUUAUUCUCCACCAGAGUCAUCACGGAAUACAAGAAUAGGCGUAGGGAACUUGUUGUGUGCCAUGGCGUCAAAACGCUUACACAUAUAAGACCUCACUACGAAAGGAAAUAAAGUAUAUCCAGGUGUGUUGAGAGAAGUCAUCUAUAAAUAUAGUACUAGCGAUGACCUCCUUUCGAGGCGAAAGGAGGUGGGCCCCAGACAUUAGAGUGAACAAGGUUGAAAGGGUUGUUGAGACACUGUCUCGCUAUGAGCAUAAGGUAAGUAUAGCUGUUUACCAAGCCGACNNNNNNNNNNNNNNNNNNNNNNNNNNNNNNNNNNNNNNNNNNNNNNNNNNNNNNNNNNNNNNNNNNNNNNNNNNNNNNNNNNNNNNNNNNNNNNNNNNNNGCAUGCAAGCUUGCUCCCAACGCUAUGAAGGGGUUGUCAAUCCCUUAUAGAUUGUUUGCCAAGUGAGAACUGAAAGCAAAAAAGUAACAAAGCAAAGUAAAAGCGGAGGUGUAAACGAUGGAUGUGAAUAGACCCGGGGGCCGUAGUGUUUACUAGUGUCUUCUCUCAUGAAAGCAAGUAGACGGUGGGUGAACAAAUUACUGUCCAGUAAUUGAUAGAACCGCGCAAAGUCGUGACGAUAUCUAUGCAAUGAUUAUAUCUAUAGGCAUCACGUCCAAAACAAGUAGACCGAUACUUUCUGCAUCUACUACUAUUACUUCACACGUCGACCGCUAUCCAGCAUGCGUCUAGUGUAUUAAGUCCAAAAGAAUAGAGUAACGCCUUAAGCAAGAUGACAUGAUGUAGAGGGAUAAUCUCAAACCAAUGAUAAAAACCCCAUCUUUUUACCCUUGAUGGCAACUACUUGAUGUGUCCCUUGCUGCCCCUACUGUCUCUGGGAAAGGUCACCACAUGGUAGAACCCAAAACCAAGCACUUCUCCCAUUGCAAGAAUCAUAGAUCUAGUUGGCCAAACAAAACCCAAGACUCGAAGAGACUUACAAGGAUAUCAAAUCAUGCAUAUAAGAAAUUAGCAAAGACUCAAAUAUAUAUCAUAGAUAAACUGAUCACAAAUCUACAAUUCAUCGGAUCUCGACAAACACACCGCCAAAGAAGAUUACAUCGGAUAGAUCUCCAUGAAGAUCAUGGAGAACUUUGUAUUGAAGAUCCAAGAGAGAGAAGAAGCCAUCUAGCUACUAACUACGGACCCGUAGGUCUGAAGUGAACUACUCACGAGUCAUUAGAGGGGCGAUGAUGAUGAUGAAGAAGCCCUCCAACUCCAAAGUCCCCUCCGGCAGGGCGCCGAGAAGGGUCUCCAGAUGAGAUCUCGCGGAAACGGAAGCUUGCGGCGGCGGAAAAGUAUCUUCGAGGCUCCCCUGAUUUUUUGCGGAAUAUUUGGGAAUUUAUAGGCCAAAGACCUAGGUCAGGGGGCGGCCAGGGAGGCCACAAGCCUGCCCACCGCCGCCUCCCCUGGUGGCGAAGUGGGGGCUUGUGGGCUCCCUGGAGCCCACCUGGCCUCGCCCAAAGGCCCCCUGGUCUUCUUCCGUUCGAGAAAAAAUCAUUUCGAGGUUUUUCUUCCGUUUGGACUCCGUUCCAAAAUCAGAUCUGAAAAGAGUAAAAAACACGGAAAAAACAGGAACUGACACUUGGCACUGAAUUAAUAAGUUAGUCCCAAAAAAGAUAUAAAAGGUACAUAAAACAACCAAAGAAGACAAGAUAACAGCGUGAAACCAUCAAAAAUUAUAGAUACGUUCAGCCCUGCAGGAGUAGAUCAUUCACCACCACCAGAGCGCCGUCACGCUGCCGGAGAACUCAUCUACUUCUCCGUCUUGCUUGCUGGAUCAAGAAGGCCAAGAUCAUCGUCGAGUUGUACGUGUGCUGAACGCGGAGGUGCCAACCGUUCGGCACUAGAUGAGAGCGGAUCAUGGGACGGAUCGCGGGGCGGAUCGAGGGACGUGAGGACGUUCCACUACAUCAACCGCGUUUCUUAACGCUUCCUGCUGUGCGAUCUACAAGGGUACGUAGAUCCAAAUCUCCUCUCGUAGAUGGACAUCACCAUGAUAGGUCUUAUUGCGCGUAGGAAUUUUUUUGUUUCCCAUGCGACGUUCCCCAAUAGUAGGUCCGCGCAUGGUGAAAAGACCUCGAUGACGCCUAGAGGGGGGGGGGGUGAAUAGGCUAUUUAAAAGCUUCUUCAGAUUUGGCUUGAACCUAAUGCGGAAAAAAAACUAAGAGGGUACUUGUCAAGCACAAAUCCUAAAUGCACUAGGCACUGCAACGUGUAUCAACAACACGAUCUACCAAGAUGGACACAAUACAGUUACUAACAAGCACAAGUAAGUUACACAAACUUACUUGAGCUAUAUCACACGACAAGUAGGUGAACGACACAAGAUACUAGAUCACACUUUAUCACACGAUAUAUCAAGGGUUGCAAGUAUGUACGUGUGGAUAUAGAGGGUAUGCUUGAAUGAUUAAUCUUGUACAAGAAAUAGCCAACACAAUAUAAUGAGCACAAACAAUAUGCAAUGUAUGUAUGCUCAAGUAACACAAGUAAACCACAAGUAAGGAGUUAGGGUUAGGGAUAACCAAGGUCACUGAGAAGAAGAUGUAUCCCGAUGUUCACUUCCUUGGAGGGAAGCUAGUCACCGUUAGAGAGGUGGAUGUUACCACGAAGGCACACCAAUGCCACGAAGGCUCACCCUAUUCUCCCUUUGAGAUAACACCACGAAGGCGUUUCUCAACCACUAGUGGUAAGCCUUUGAGGUGGCUUCCAAACCCUCACAAACUUUUCCGCGGGAAAUCACACGGAUUGAUUCCUCUCCGAAGAACUCCUACCGCCUAGGAGUCUCCAACCUCCGAGAGUAACAAGAUCACGGGGAAUGCUCAAAACUUGCUCAAAUCACAAAUAGCUUGGGUUGAGAGAAGGAGAGGGAGAAGAUCUAUCUUUUGAUUGGAACAACUCUCAAAGGGGCUCACAAAUGCUCUUGGGAUCUAAGAUUUGGAGUGAGCAAAUGUGUGUGAGGUGGAAGUGUGUUCUUAUGAGGAUAAGGCUGUGUUGGGCCACCCUCUUACGAAGUGGGAGGGGGGUAUUUAUAGUGUGGAGAGAAAAGGAGCCGUUGGGGACACUUUAAGUCACACAGGGUCCGGACGUCCGACAGUUGUCGGAAGUCCGGGCGACCGCGAGGGGUCGGACGUCUGACAGGGGUCGAUCGUCCGGGGCCUGUAGAUACGACUGAAACUAUUUUGAAUUAAACAGCGACCGGACGUCCGACAGGGGUCGGUCGUCCGAGGCCUGUAGGUGUGCCUGAACAUGUUUGAAUCCAUCAGUAUACGGACGUCCGGAGUGGCCCGGAAGUCCGUGUUAUACAGCACAAGUUCUACUGGUGGUGGCUUCCGGAUUUCCGAUGGGUGUCGGACAUCCGGUGCUCGGGCAUCCGGAGGAAGCCGGAUUUCCGAGAUAUAGUGCACACAUUCUACUGGUGUUGACCUCCGGAUUUCCGGAGCUUGGCCGGACGUCCGGCCCUUGGACGUCCGGAGGGAGUCGGAUUACCGAGAUAUAGAACUCAACUUCUACUGGUGCAGGCUUCCGGAUUUCCGGGACUUGGCCGGACAUCCGGGCCUCGGACGUCCGGAGGGAGCCGAAAGUCCGAGUUAAAUGGCUCUGAUUUCUCGGGUAUAGGAUUUCGGAUUUCCGAAGCUGUCGGUCGUCCGGCCCUCGGACGUCCGGAGGAGGCCGGAUGUCCGAGGCACUGGUUCUGUUUUCAGAUAACAGCAGAGCAGUGGAGAUGUGGUCUGAACAUAAAGUGAAGAUGUAGUUUGAGCAAGUUCAUCGCAAAACCUGUGAUCCCCUCUUAAUAGUGCGGGAUCCCUAAGGACUCAAGAAUCAUAAAAGAGUACUGAUGAUCCAUACUUGAGUGUAUACUUUUAUUCGCUGAUCAUCACUCCGCACAACUAACGUCAAAGGAACUGAUACCUUUGAGUUAGCCCUUUCACUUGAGCUUGAUGUUGUUGUUCCUUCUUGGCUCAAGUUGAAAGCAAGACAUGAUGAAGUCUUCAAGUAGCUUUCCCAUACACAAUGCGGAAAGCCUAGCUUAUGUAUUCAUCUUCAUUUGUCCACCAUGUGAACAUCCACAAGAAUCAAGCAUGAAGUUCUCAAGAAUGCUUAUCUUGAUCUUGUCCUGUCCACCAUGUGAACAUCCACAAGAAUCAAGCAUGUAGUGCUCAGGAAUGCUUAUCUUGAUCUUGUCCUUGUUAGCACAUGAGGUUGUCCUUGUCAGCACAUGAUCAUUGACAAUAGUUUCAAUGAUAUAUUCGUGCUGAUCCGCUUGAACUUGCACACCACAAUCUUGAUGACGAUCACCACUUGACGUCAUCCUUCAUGGGUUGUAUGAGAUCUUCCUUUUGACGCAAGCCCAAUGGAAGCACACCUAACCCCCAUAUAGGAGUCUCACAAAGACCAUGGGUUAGUACACAAACACGUAAUGGACAAUGCUUACCAUACCAUGGGAUCACUUGAUCCCUCUCGGUACAUCUUAUACGCUUUGUGUGUUGAUCAUCUUGAUUUACUCUUUGCCUGAGAUCUUGAUCAACCUAGUGUUUCUAUGACCAUUCUUUGGAUAAUGCCUUGAAUAACAUCUUGGCCAUCAUAUAAACUCCUUGAACCUAACAGAUGGACUUCAAGAAGUGCCUAUGGACAAAUCCUAUAAAUAUAACUUAAGGCAACCAUUAGUCCAUAGGAAUUGUCAUCAAUUACCAAAACCACAUAUGGAGAUAUAUGCUCUAACACAUGGCCCGCCCCAAUCCCUCUAUAAGCAGAGGGUUUCACGUGCGAGACAAGGUCCACAAGAAAGAGGACGAGAGAAAAAUCUCAAUUGACCGCCUCUGCCGCUACACAUCCACGUCAUCAGCGCGAUGAUUCCCAACAUCUCCGGUCUCUACCCUCCAGAACCACUUCGGCACCGCCGCAGCCGGCCGCUGGCAGCGGCAAAUUCGACGACCUCUUCUCCGCCAACACCGCAGACCAUCUCACGCUCGAAUUCCCAACCUCUCCAUCUUAGAGAACCACUUCGGCGGCGCCGCGACCGGCAGCCACGACUUCGACGACCUCUUCUCCGUCGACACCGCGGACUAGCUCACCCUCGAGUUCUCCACGUGCAACCACGUGUGUGAGCCUUCCCCUCCCCCAAUCCCCCUUUCUCUCCGUCGGCCUUUGAUCCGUUCACGCCCCGUUUUCGUUUCCCGGUGGCAAUUCAAUGGGUUCGAGAAGGUGACCAAGGAGGUGGUGAACAACAAGAUGGGGACGACCAUGCUCUCCUUCAUCUUUGAUAAGGGCGUCAUCGUCGCCGCCGACUCCUGGGCCAGCAUGGGCAGGGUCAUGGACGGAGAUAGCGUAUUCGCACGGUGGGCCGUGGCCCACCCAGAAGUUAGAGAUUUUUUUACUAUGUAUUAGUAAUUCACCCCAGCCCAGCCCACAACCAUCUAGGUUGCUUCUCGCACUGGUUGUUGGUCGUGUGUGGGCAGACAUGUUCCUCCUCUCGCCGCCUCCUGUAUCCCUCCCCUUGCAUGGAAUGAGAUCCUCUGACUUAGGAAGUUCUACUGCCGAGGGACGUCCUUCUCGCUGCACCGUCCAUCAGCAAUCCAACGCUACUCACAGGAAUUACAACCUGCGCCAGCUUUUCACUCGGAUGGAAACAAAAUAAGUGGCCCAUCGGCUCAGUCCGAUGCUUGUAUGCUUACUUGAAUGCGUGCUACUGUCUGAUUUUGCACACACACAAGUUGUGUGCUUACUGGAACAUGUAAAAAAGCAGGAACAUUUUCUUUGCACACACACAAAUUUUGUGCUUACUGGAACAUUUAAGAAAACAGGAACAUUUUGUUUGCACACAAACAAGUUGUCUGUUUACUGGAACAUUUAAGAAAGCAGGAACAUUUUCCAUACAAAUGUAUUCAACUCUACACAUGUACAAAAACCUUCUAAAUCUGACCAAUUCUGCAAAGUAGAAGUACAAACUAGAACACAUAAUUCAAUCAUAACAUUCACUCAAAAUGUUGUUGCAACUUCUCUCUUUUUACUCUGGAAACCCUCGUACACAACACAUAAUGCUAGCCGCAGAGUAGAUGGCCCGUAGAUGCCUUGACGACCUUGGCUUCGUGGCCUCGACAGCUCGGCCGUGUCAACGACGCCGGCUCCGCAGCUCCAUGGCCUAGACGACACCGACUUCGGAGCUCCACGGCCUCGACGAGGCAUCACGCCAUGGAUGAGGCAACUGCUGGCUCCGCUGCAUCCAAUGCUAAGCAGCCUCAUGGCUGGAUCCGCCGCCUCCACGGCUAGGUGGCGUCGCGUCCUUCCCGCCGACGAACAUUAAGGCGAGGCGAGAGUUUUUUUUAUAACAAGAUGAGAGCUCAGGCGAGCGAUGUAUCGAUGGUGCCGCCCUGUUGGGCCACAUGGGCCGCUUGUGUUCGUGUGGACACGAACGGGAGAGAAGAAAAGAACGCAAUCGUCAGAUCCAUAUCUGACCAAACGGGCCGGCCCCGGCCCGACAACCCGCGUGCCUCGCACGACACAGGCCCGGCUCGGCACGGGCUAAUCGUGCUCGGGCCCGGCACGAAGCACACCGUACCUGGGCCUGGAGGCUGGACGCGCGGGCCGACACGACCCAUUUAUUUAUUUUAUAUAUUUUUAAUAUAUAUAUAUAUACAAAAAUAUGACCCAAUAGACAAAAAUAAAUCCAUAGGGCUAAAAAAUACGGCUCAGCGUGCUAAUCAGCCAACAUGCCGGCCUGUAUAAUGAUCAGUCUGUGCCUGGGCCGAAAGACGCAGCCACGGACCGAUACGGCAUGGCCCAAUUAAUAACCGUGCCUGAACGGACCUGCCGUGCCAGGGCCGAUUACCACGGGCCGUGCUGGCCCGUUUGGGCAGGUCUGGUCAGAUCGUGAACGAACGGUGCAGGAACUCGAGGAUCUCGAGGAUCUCGUUCCCUCUUGCACGGCUCGCCGCUUGCCUCCUCUCGCCGGCCGCCGCUCGCCCCUCCCCUCCUCUCGCCGGCCGCCGCUCGCCCCUCCCCUCCUCUCGCCGGCCGCCGCUCGCCCCUCGCCCCUCGCCAUGUCGUCCCGCCCAGGCGCCCACAGCCGCCGUCGUCACUCCAGGUCCUCAGUGCGGCUGGCCGGCUGCGGGCUGCGGCUGGAUUAAUCCGCCCCUGCUGCGCCUCCCUCAACGCCGGACGGCUUCAAGGCUCAAGCCCUCAACUGCAUCAAUCUCAUCGGCUUCCCCAACCUCCUGUUGAACAAAUCAGCAAGGUAAGAUUUGUGUACAACUGAUUUCCUGCUUCCUAGUAAAUUGAUGCCAAAUCAGUACAGUAGCAGACUGAUUUCCUGGACUAGAUAGAACUAUUUGUGUAGAACUGAUUUGGUAUGCUGCUGCUGGCAAUUAAAUGCGAGAAUAGUUUGAAAACUAAACCAUACCUCAACCAAACCUAUAGGAAUAAACGUGGCAACCCAAACCAAACUAAACCCAGUUGAUAUUUAUGUCAGCCCAACCAAAACCAAACCAACUUGAAUCUGUACCCAAAUUGAACUGAAACUGAGUGCUUACCUGUGGUUGAAACCAUUUGCUGAAAUGGUUUGAAAACCAUUUGAGUAGUAAUAAGAACCAUCCUUGUAUGGCAUAUCCCUUAUAUCUCACUGUAACUUGACAACAGCGGCUGGCAGCCACGGAGGCAGGCCCAGAGAGUCGCGUGCGAGCAGCACUCGACGACAUCGGCUACGGACGCAGGUGCAAAUAGCUGCGCGCGGGCGGCGCUCGACAGCAACGGCCAUGGAGGCCACUCCGGCAAGCUGUGGAUGAUGGUAGCUCCGGCAAAGGCGGGGCCGACGAGCCACGCGCGAGCAGCUCUGGCGAAGGCGGGUGCGGCGAUCCACACGCGAGCAGCUCCGGCAAACGUCGGACAGGCGAGCGACGGCGUUGAGGUCCGAUGUGUGGAGAAGAAUAGUCUCAAGAACCAACGUCAACAACCGGGCAUGAACUGCGGGUCUGAACUUUUUUGAGCUGGACCUAUUCAGGCCUAUAACCAACCAUACCCAACCAUUUGUUGUAAGAAACCGAACUGAACCAAACUCUUGUCAGAGUCAACCUAUUAACACCUGAACCAAGCGAAACCGUCAGCAGAAACCAAACCGAUACACCUGGUUAAUCCAAAACCAUUCUCAGAUUUACUGGCAAUGAUGUUUUUAUUGAUGAUAUGAGACAAGAUGAUUUCAGAUCUGUGCGUAAUAUUGGUGAACUCUCUGUUAUGCUUGUUAGUACAAACAAACAUGUUCUCUAUGAUUUGAUCUACAUGCUUAUCAAAUUGGUAUUGAUCUUACCGGUGGCCAUGGCGAGUGUUGAAAAGAGUAUUUUCAGCAAUGAGUCUAAUGAAAAAUAAGUUGAGAAAGAGUAUGAGUGAUGAUCUCAUGAACAAUUGUUUAGUCACAUUCAUUGAGCGAGACGUGUUCUUGAAAGUAAGCGAGGAAGACAUAGUUGAAGCUUUCAUGGCAAAGGAACAUCGUGGAGUUAAAAAGUAAGCAAGGAAGACAUAGUUGAAGGUUUCACGGCGUAGUUUCUACAUGCCUACAUUUGUGUAUCUUUUAUGUAAGACUAUUUAUAUUUGCAAUGUUGCAAAUUUGGAAUAUUUGGGAACUAUACUGUUGUCUACUUGAUUGGGCCAUCUGUAUUAUAUUUUUGCCAAUUAUUGUAUGACACUUGGAUUAGGUAGGAAAAGAAAUUUAGGUGUGCACACCCUCCAUUUCUUUUCUGGCUCCGCCACUGGGCGGGGUAAACAUGUGAGUCCCUUGUCCCUUGGCCUCGCAUUCCAGUACUAGGGUUUGGCGGUGCGGGGAUUUGAUUUGCUGGCGGGGAUGCGUGAUUUAGGGUCAGGAUGUUUAUAGAUCUCCUAGCGAAAUUUGGUUCCUUUGUCCGUUGAAUUAUCUCUGGGAGGACACUUUGGUGGCUAGGGGUGUGUUUCUUUACUCUUGCGUACUAGGGCUAUACAUUUUCAUAUCUAGUAAUUCAGGGCAGUGAUUCAUACUUCUAUGAAAUCUCAAACCAACUUGAUUUGGGUGUGAAGAACUUCUGUUUUAGUGUACAACAGAAAAAAAAUAUAACAACCUCACAAUAGCCGAGCCACCAACUGCAGUGCCAUAACCUCACACCAGUUGUGGUGACCGUGCUUGGAUAUGGUGGUUCAUUUGGAUUACGUGGUGAAUAAAAAAAAGAAACUGAUUGAGUUUGGAUGCUAAUUAUCUGUAGGAACUGAGAAGGGAGGUACUCUGUAGUGGAAUUGGUAAUGAUAGGGAGUUGUGAAUUGAUGUGGUACUGAUAUCACGCACACAAAAUGAUAGUUUCUAUUACUUACCAUUUAAUUCAAGUCUGCUUAUCUGAAGAUCCAACAUUUAUGCAUAUUGAUUUGUGUCUGUGUGGUUUGGAGAAAGCCAAAUAGAAAGCUGCUGUUAUUGUAUAAUCUCUAUGUUUCCACAAGUGCUGAUCCUUCUGUAAAGUUGCCCUCACAUGUUUGUUAGUCGUUCUAGAAGGUUUUUGCUUGAUGCAAGGAUCAUCACUUUAAACAUUCAUCAGAAUGUAUUUCUGUUUUUACAUGAUUCUGUGUUUCCUUUUCUGCAGCUUCACAACUGUGAGGAAAAUUGUCGAGAUUAAUCCCUACACGCGGAACUGUGGCUUGUGGGCUGCUGAUUGCCAAUUUUGGCAUAGGAACUUGGGGGUUAAGGUAAAAUGUCACCUGCUUGUCUACUUGCAUAGUACUAAUUGAGUGCCCAUGCGUUGCCACGAAAUAUUAUAUUUAUCUUCUUCAGCGUCUACUAUGUUAUCCGUUUGUCUGUCCACGUCCCAUAGGAAUACAAGCUUUAUUCUUUCUCCUAUUUUUACUCUUGCAUGUCCAUGAAUUUUAUCACAGCUCCAUCUGUUAUGUGUUGCCACUUUGCUCACAAUCGCUCAUGGGUGUUGGCAUAUGAUACGGAAGAAGAAAUUUGUCUAUAUAGAAAAUAAGUUCUCAGGAUUGUAACUAUACAAAGCAUCAUUUUCCUUCUCCAUUGUCUGCCUCUGCCAUCACUUACUUUGUUUCACAAUUUUCAACGCAGCCAUAGAAUAUCAAAAUUACCAAGUCGCAACUACUACAAAAUGAUUUUAACCACUACCUUUUUCCGUAUAUGUUAUUUGUCAAUCAUAUUUCAACCUACACUAUUUAAACUUUAUUUCUCUGUGCUCUUACUAAGUCUACAAAAACAAAAUACACAAAUAGCAAAUCUAAGUAUGCUCUAGAUAUUCAACAUGUGAGACAAUAGGUGAAAAAGACCAGCAAAGCAUCAUUCUGGAAAGAAGAGAUAUCAACUUUGGAUUUGAAUCUUUCACAUUUUAUCACAAAGAAAGACAGCUAAAUACUCACUUCCAAUGGAUGUGGCACAAACGGAAGGAACCAAGCUGGGCUGAGUGCAAGUCUUGUCUUCUUCAUCUGCAUAGAUUGAUAAUGUAGGGUCUAUGUACAGUUGAUUACGCUCGAACUAUCUUGUAUGGGCAAAAAUAAUAAUUAUUCAGAUCUUUCUAUUUUAUAAUUAGCAUGUGAAUUUUCUUUGGGAUGGGCAGUUAGUAUAGUUAUAUAUUCGGUAAGAAAUUAGGGCACAAAUGAUGCAAAUUCACAUGAAGUUUUUUUUCAAGGAUACGUCAAGAUUGACAUAUCGAGAUCAUAAAUAGAAGAUGCCAAGAAGGCAGCUUUUGUACAACUCCUCCACGGCUCAGCGAGCCAGACACCACAUGCAAACACCACAUGCAGACUACUCGCUACUCUCUACCGUUCCUACCCUAAUAGGCAAUGAUCUAGGAUCUCGCAGCAGCCUUGCGACCCUCCAAUCUUGAGCCUCAAUUCAAUCGGCCUCAGCACCGUUGCCGCAUCCGGAGAAGCCCCGUUGAAGUUUAAUAUAAUGCAAGCAAAAGUUAUAUAGACUACAAAAUAAUGGAACUUUUUGUUCUUCAGGCAAGCUGGAAUGUUCUUGCAUCACCAGUGAAUGUGCUGCUACCUAUAAUAUUGAUUUUAACUUUAGAAGAAAUAAGUAGACAUCAAAAUAAACUCAUAAAAUAAUAGCACGACCAAUACCACAAUCGAGAAGUACGCUAGAUGGUCUCUCCUAAAAUAAUUUUGUGAUAUUAAGCGAGCUAAAUCAUGCGUUUCACAUCUCUCUCUCUUGGUCAGAAAUAGUUUUGUACUCCCUCCGUCCCAUAAUAUAAGAUCAUUUAGCUGUUUUAGCUUGCAAAAUGUUCAUAUUUUAUGGGACGGAGGGAGUAAUUUACAGGACAUGACAAACCCAGAACAUGAUAAAUCUAAAAUAAUAUCUAUCUUACAAAUGCGAACAUCUUUUAUGUUGUAAUAGUCAAACUUACAUCUUUUUUACUGCAUGUUCUGUAGUAGGACAUCUGUUUACGAAACGGAAGAUAGCAUACUUGUGGCUGCACAAACAAUUAUAUUCUUUACAUCGAGCUAAAAGAACGACGGAAAAGAUAUUUACUUGCUAGACUAAAAGAUCGAUGGAAAAAAUAUUUCUCAAGUUUAACUCUUAUCAAUUUUACCUCGACAAAGAGGCAGAUCAUUAAUAUUACAACCAACAUUUCAUUUGCAUGGUACUCAGUCUGCACCGAUGUGAAUCCUAUAUCCCAUCAUCUGUGACUAAAGUCCCAAGACGCUAUCUGAAUUGUGUGCUACCACAAGUGAAAUCCACCUCGAACUGCCAAUAUUUGGAUCACAUUGAUGCACAAUGGUUGUAGACACAAUCCAGUCUUCUAUUGACUAAAUAUCAGAACAAGAUUAGUAACUCCGUUAAUGCACGUAAAUACAGAUAAACAAAAUAUCUAUCAAGACUUCAAUGACGACAUGCCUGCAGCAUUCUUGAAUUUGCAUUACUAAGUACCCCCUCCGUCCCAAAAUAAGUGUCGCUGAUUUAGUACAUUUGUACUAAAUCAGCGACACUUAUUUUGGGACGGAGGGAGUAUAAACAGAACUGAAGUUUAACCAAGAACAUUACAUCGUUAUAUUUCUUUACAGAAUUAGCCCACCGCUGUGAUUACAAUGCUAAUUGUAGUAAUUUUUAGAUUCAACUAUGUUAUACUUCCUUCGUCCCAAAAAGCGCGACUUAGAUUUGUCUAGAUAGAGAUGUAUCUAAACACGUUUUAGUGUUAGAUUCAUCUGUAUCUAGAUAAAUCUAAGACAAACUUUUUGGGACGGAGGUAAUAGAACUGAAGGUGCCUACACUAAAUUUCUCCAAAAUUUCUAAAGGAAGCAAAAGAUAAGAAAAUAUUUGCCCUAAGAUUUCUCCAAGAAAUGCAUACCAGAAGCAAAAUUAAUAUAUCGAUGUAGAUGACUUUAAUCUUCAUGUAAAGGUGGAUCAACUGCCAUACGGGUCCAGGCACAUCCUCAUAAACUUGGUUGAUGUUGUUGUGGUUAAUCUAGUCUUGUUUCUUGCCGCCGGUUUCUAUGAAAAGAAACCAACAGAACUAAAGUUCACUUUAAUAUAAAGUUUUAGCUGCAGCGAGAAAAGAGUCGCCAAGCUCUUGUACAUUUGGUCGUUGGACAAAAGCUUAGCGAGAAAAUUAUGGAUAAAUGAAGAAAGCUAGAUCUGUCCAUAUAGUGCAAGAAACAAGUAGUGAGCGAGACAAAAGCUUAGUGAUGACAAAGGAAUACAUUGGUAUUGAAGACAAACACCAGGCAAGCCUAACAAAUCGACUCUUCCACCCUUUCAGUGGCGGCGAGCAUGGACCAUGAGAACUCCAAGAACCUCUCUUGAAUCCAUGGCUUACGUACAACUGGAGUAGCUGCUGCGGUGCCUUUGUUCGAUGCGUUGGGAAGUAGGUAGAGAUGAAGGUCGUACAUGACAUAGAAGACGUGAGCUACAUCUUGCAUCUACAAACGAGGGCGACCUAGGCUUGUGUUCGACAAUGCAAUUCUUGGUUGGUGUGUUCGAUAGCAACCAGGGCAGCGAUGCGAGGCGUCGACGACUGGACACAAUAGUAACCCUAGUUGGUCGAGCUCGCUCUUCACGAGAGAGGAAGAAGAAAUCAGGUUGGGGCGAGCAAGUCCAUGAGGCAGGGGCAAGACAUGGUGGGUCCACUCAUCGGCGAGAAUUUGUUUGAGAGAGGGGGAAGACAAACGAACAUGCGAAUCAACGUACUACGGCCUACCAUCAUAACCUCACUCCCCUUUAAUAGUAAACAUAGUAUGAAUAACAGUAGUUUCUUCCUUCAGAGGUUCAUGAGCUCCAUGAGCUCGUGAACAAGCAAAGGAUCUCUAUUGUUGGUUCUUUAAACACGUUGGCUAAUAUCCUGUAUUUUCAUACCGUAGGAUGGUACUUUCAGUCGGUACAAUGAUUGUUGGAUUUGAUGGAACUGUGAGUGGCCCUUUGACAUAUUUUAGUGUCUUUAAGAUGUACUUAGGUCUAUGCUUAACAAUUCUGCUCUUUUUCUUGGGUUCGAUCUUGGUACUAUGUUGAUAAGCGAGGGUGCAAGGCUCAAGGAAGCCGGUUCUCUAGCUCUCUGUAUAUUUAUUGUAUGCUUAUGGUAUCUUGGAUGAGGGGUAUGUUUUUUUAUACUUCCAUAUGUUGCUUUGCUAAUUGUUUAUAUUAUUUUGAAGUUGGAUCCCUUAUGUUUGUGUUUUACAUUUCAGUUACAAAUUCAACAUGUCAGUUGAGGCUAUUGAGUGAGCAUGGCGGGCUUUUAUCACACAAUUCCGUGACGGAGCUAGUGGUGGCAGUGUUCGUGGUGGUAUGCAUUCUAUUUCUUAGGGCCAGUUCUUUUGACGGCUUAAAAAAUAAGCCGCCUCCUCUCUAGCUUUUUCCAUAAGCCGCCUUCAUCAUUCAUUGAGGCUUUUGAACUAUUUGUGAAAUUGCAAGUUUAGAAGCCUCAACAAAUUUUGAGAGCGGCUUAAGCUGGGAAAGGCAGCUUAUUUUUUAAGCCACCCAAAAGAACUGACCCUUAGUAUCUAUCCUGAUAUUUAUUUUGUUCACUCGAUAAGAAUGGUACACCAUGCAUGCAUAUUUGUUAAACACCUUGUCAUUGUAUCUUCCUUUUGAAAUCUCAAACAUAACUGUUUAUUGAGUUACAAUUACUUUCGUAAGUUUUUGGCAAAGUCCAGAGUUUUUUGUAUUUUCCAUCACGUAAUUCACACCCCUGGGUUGUGCUUAGAGAUUACCGUCCAGACGACGGUAAUAAAUUAAAGCACACCCUUCUAUUUAGUGUUGUAGAGUAUAGACAUGGGUGUAGACAUCUAGUCAAAGCUACCUAGGAUUUCUAAAACAAUAUUAAUUAGUCCCUUCUGUACCUAAAUAAUUGUAGUCCAACUAUAAUUAUUUAGGUACAGAGAGAGUAUAUGAUGGUUGCAUGUACUUCCUCCGGUCCUUUUUAGUCUGCAUAUUAGCUUUGUCCGAAGUCAAAGUAUCUCUACUUUGACCAAAUUUAUAGAAACAUGUGUCAACAUUCACAAUGUCAAAUUAAUACUGUUAGAUUCAUUACGAAAGGUAGUUUCAUGAUAUGUAUAUUUGAUAUUGUAGAUGUUGAUAUUUUUCAAUAUAUAUUUGGUCAAACUUUGUAAAGUUUGACUUGACCCAAAUCCAAUAUGCGGAGUAAAAAGGACCGGAGGGAGUAAAUUACAUGCGCAGAUUUAUUCCUUUCUUUCGUACGACUUACAUGUUGGUAGUUUCUAGAAAUAUGGUGUGAUGUAUAAAGAAUUAUGGUAAAUGCUGUCUAGUGUUUGGGUCAAAUUAUUAUUUGAAAGUCGGGGUUAAAGUUUAUUGAGAAAAGAAGAUUAUAAUUUGGGCUUGAUAGAGUAUGACCAUAUCCCACUCGGUUCUGUUAUGCAAACGUGGUCCACUUUGGAGAAGAAUAUACCAACCAUUGUGGUAGUGAGCCUAACUCACCUUAACAAUUCUAUUUGGGCCUCAUUCCCCUAAUACGCUAGACUAUUUCUGGUAGUCACUUCAUGAUACGAGAGAGGGAAGGCCAGCGGCCAUGGCAACAUAGUCCCCCCGGUUGUUCAUGCCACUUGAGAGGAUGAAGGCUCUAGCGACAUCGUGCGAGAGGCAUUAGCGCUAGCGAGUUCGCCACCAUCCUAGCCGCGAAAGCAAUGUCGUAGAGCAUAUAGUGGAGGGUAGAGCUGGACGGUGGCACGGCGGUGUUAACGUUGCAGGAGGAGGUGCACUUGUACGGGGCACUGCAGUCUGGUUCUUCAUUGAAGGGAUCGCUAGCCCACGUAGCAUCAUGUGUUGGAGGAGGAGGUACACUCAUACGGGGCGCACUACGGUCUGGUUCUUCUUCCAAGCAAUUAGAGAACCACUAGAAAUGCACAGUAAGCAAAAAGUGAACGACGAUCCAAGGGAUCACUAGCCCACGCAACAUCAUGCAUGGAGCUAUAAUGAAUGGGAACGGGAAAAAAUAGAUAGUGAUAGAUCGUGCCACGAAAAUAUCAAAAAACACAAAGAAGAUGGCUAGUGAGCCGAAGUGGGGGUAGAGACAAACUUACUCAAAAUAUGGACAUGAUAGUAGAUAUCCGGGCGAGUGUCAGCUUAGAAGACUCCCAACAAGAUGAUGAUAACGUGUCAAAGCAGACAAAGGGUCACCAUCAUUAGCACGGUGAUGAAUAUUGAGCUACAUGGGAGUCAAUGACGCACUCAUCAUUAAGAGAAACACAGUAAGAACAGCACGAGCAAGAAGAUCUUGGAUUACUUUUCUUCACUAACAAGAGACUUUGAUCCCAAGAAAGUAACAAAGUGGGCCAAUAUUAGACAUAAGAAACUGCUCACUAAUACGUGCCUUCACAAAGGCAAUAUACUCAGUCUCUUCGCUAGUGGUGAACAUGUCAUCAACUUAUAGAAGAAGAGUACGACCAAGAGCAGAAAGGUGGAUCAACAACAGAUCAUGGGUACUCGUUGAAACCAACGACAAGCACCGCAAAGGCAAAACGCUCAAAGCAGACAAGAGGGCUUGCUUCCGGCCAUGGAGAGCGACGUACACGACAAAUCAUGUCGUACGGAACAUAAUACCUAGGUGGUGGCUGCAUAUAAACCUCCUCGCAUAGCUCACAAUUAAGAAAGACAUUUUUAACAUCAAGUUGAGAUAUAGAACAAUGGCGAAUGUGCAAAAAAUGGUCAUAUGUUUCACAUGAGCAAAAAGCCACGAGCCACAAGACGAGCUUUGUAACACUCAACAUAACCAUGAGAGCGUCUUAACAAGUGACGGCACGAACACAAAGAGGAAGAGAAACAAGACCCCAGGUGCUGCUGCGUUCAAGAGCAGCAAUCUUUUUUAAUAUCGCAAACUGCCAUUUUGGACGAACAACAACACCGCAAUAAGAAGUCGGCUCAAGAACAGUAGCGUCAGCGCUUGAAAUAUCAAGGCGGUCAAUUGGUGGAAAUAGAUGGGAACGCAAGUCGUAAGUAGGCCGAGACGGGGAAGAUGGCACAUCAUUAUACACAUACACAACACGCGGUCAUUGAGUGUAAACGUGAGGAAAAGAUGAAAUGAUACGAGGGGGAAUCAUCGGGGUAAACUCAGGUGAUGCAGACAAGGAAGCCACCGAUGAUGAAGGUGUAAAAUCCCGCGAAGUGAGGUCUGGAAAUCAUAGGAGAUGAUGGCGUUAGAUCUGCUAUAAGCCUAUAAUCGGAGAAGUGAAUGGAUAAGGGCUCAACAGGAAUGAUAGGAGUGUCAGAAAAAUUGUGGAAAGAGAUAUAUCCUGCAAUGAAAAGGUCGAGGAACAUGAAUGCGUGUAGAAGGGAUGAGACUAAUCGAAAGUCACAACCUGAGAAAUAGGCAUCCGUCAACCAACGUGAUCUCAACAACGAUAUCCCUUAUGCUCAUCGUCGUAUCCUAAGAGUACACUAAACAAACUGAGAAGUUAGUUUGGUGCAUUCACAAGGAGAAAGAAGAACAUAGCAAACACAACCAAACAAUUGAAGCGUCUGGAAACAAUUAAAUAGACUCUCGAAAGGAGACGGCUAUGUACAGUGGAUUAGAUUGUCGAAGGUUGAUGAGAUAGAUGGAAGUGGAGACAGACUCGGCCCAAAAAUGUGGCGGAAGAGUGAGCAGCGACAUUCAACCUACGAGCCGUCUCAAUAGUUACCUUGCUUGCCCCCAACCAUGCCAUUUCUGAGCAUGAGCACCAGGAUAAGAGAACUGAGCAAGAACACCCUGCUCAACAAGGAUUGAACGUAACAUCAUGGAGAUUUAUUCUCCACCAGAGUCCUCAUAGAAUACAAGAAUAAGCGUAGAGAACUUGGUGUGAACCAUGACAGCAAAAUGCUUACACAGAUAAGACCUCACUACGAAAGGAAAUAAAGUAUAUCCAUGUGUGUUGAGAGAAGUCAUCAAUAAAUAUAGUACAAGACGAGCUUUGUAACGUCCAAGAGAACCAUCAGAGCGAGUCUUAACCUAGUAGAUGCACCAAGUAAUGGGACAAACACGAGGAGGAAGGGAAACAAUAUCCCAUGUGCUGAUGUGCUCAACAGUAACAAUAUCCUCUACCAUCUCAAGGCGCCACUUGGUAUGAAUAACAUUAAGAUAAGAAGUCUGCUCAAGAAAGUAGCGCCAACGUUUCAUAGACUAAGGCGGUCAACAAGCAAAAGUGGACGAGGUCGCAAGCCAUAAGAAGGAUGAGACGGAGAAGAUGGCACAUCAGUAAAUGCAUCCACAACACACGAACGGCGUGUUUAAAAGUGAGGCAAAUGUGGAAGAAUACGAGCAAGAAUCCUCGAGAUAACCUCAGGUUAUGGAGACAAGGAAGUCAUCGGUGAUGAAGGUUUAGAAUCCCGUGAUAAGCGAAGUGAGGAAAUCAAAGGAAAUGAUGGUGAUGAAUUUGGAAUAAUUGGAGAAGCAGGAGCAGUACGAGGAAUGGAUUAGGGCUCAACAAUAGUGAUAGAUUAUGUAAAGGAUAUCCUCCAUUGAAAAGGUUGGGGAAGAUGGUCACAGGUAGAAGGGAGUGGACUCAUCAAAAGUCAUACCAUGAGAAAUAGUCACCCGAUGACCAACAUGAUCCUAACAACAAUAUCACUUAGUCUCAUUGUUGUAUCCUAUGAACACUCAACAGACUAAGCAGUAAGUUUACAUUCAUGAGAGGCAGUAAGGACACAUCAAACACAACCAAACAAUUGAAGCGCUGAAUAAUUUGGAAACGAUCAAAGACUCUUGAAAGGAGAUGACCAUGGUGGAAAUGUAGACGUAUUCAACCCAAAAGUGUGGCGUAAGAGAGGAAGUGACCAUCCAAAAGUGUGGCGGAAGAGGGAGCAGUGACAUUCAACCUACGAGCCGUCUCAAAAGUUUGCAAUGCUUGCGCUGAGCCAUGCCAUUUCUGAGCAUGAUGAGCACGAGGAUAAGAGAACUGAGCUAGAGCACCCUGCUCAACAAGGAUUGAAUGCAACAUCUUCGAGAUUUAUUCUCCACCAGAGUCAUCACAGAAUACAAGAAUAGGCGUAGAGAACUUGGUGUGAACCAUGGCAGGAAAACAUUAACGUAGAUAAGACCUCACUACGAAAGGAAAUAAAGUAUAUCCAGGUGUGUUGAGAGAAGUCAUCUAUAAAUAUAGUACUAGCGAUGACCUCCUUUCGAGGCGAAAGGAGAUGGACCCGAGACAUCAAAGUGAACAAGGUUGAAAGGGUGUUGAGACACUCUCUCGAUAUGAGCAUAAGGUAACUAUAACUGUUUGCCAAGCCGACAACCAUAGGGUUUAGAGACAUCGUCGGAGACUGAUCCAAGAAGACCACGUCAAACCAAGGAUGCAAGAUGAGAGCCACACAAAUGACCCCAGGUGACGAUGCCACUUCUAAACAUAACUGGUAGACAAGGUAACAGUGGUGCAAAGACUAGGGGCUGUAGCAGCAGUGUCACUUGAUCCAGCAUCCUAGGUGCCUGUGCACUCUUCGUUACCCGUCGAUCGGCUUGGUGUGCUUCUCCUGUUUGUGGGUUGUGUGCCACGCACUUGAUUAAGCACCCCACAUUCUCCUACAGUGCAUCGUUGACCCUGGCUUUAGGUAGCGUUGUGUCCUCGGCUUGCCGUGCAUAAUCCAGGUACGCGUCGACUAUCCGAGCUCCUGCUCACCAUUGGUGUUUGCUCGAGUGUGGGUUCUCGUGUCGCCCAUAAAGGGCACGGGAUGUGGGAUCGAGAUAGUUCACAUAGCAACCCACAACAAGGCAAUGGAUGCCCAUCCAGACUGACAGGGAGCGGAGGUGGACACAAAAAGAUGGAUGUUGACUCCAUAGGAGUCUCCAUAGUACGCUCGUCCGUAAGAGCAGCAGGAGCAAGAAGAUCCUGGAUAUACUUGUCUUAACAAAUAAAGAAGCCUUCGAAGGUAGACUCAGGGAAGUAGCGAUGAGGACCAAGGUCAGAGAUAAGAAACUCACUAUGACGAGCCUUCACAAAGGCAAUGUACUUAAGAGUCGUGCAGUAUCAUGAGCACUCGCUGAAAAAUGAGUUGCAUUAACCAAAGAGACAACGCUCAAACUAGGCAUGACGGGUUUGCUUAAGACCAUAUAGAGAACGCCGAAGAUGACAAACCAUGACUGCUGGAAAAGAAUACCCAAGUGGUGGGUACGUGUAGGCAUUGUUGACAUCAAGGGUAGAGAGAGAGAUACUAUGUUGGCAAACUGAAGCCACAUCGAAAGUGUGCCAAAAGGGCUCAUCUGGGCCAUACAGGAGCAAAUGUCUCAUCGUAGUCAUGACUAUAUGUUCUCACCACUAGACGAGCUUUGUAAAGCUCUAGAGAAACAUCAUAGUCUCACCCUUGUGGGCCUAGUUACAGUGAUGAGACGAGCAAGAGGAGGAAGGGAAAUGAGAGUCGACUAGCCGACGAGGUGAAGAGCAUUUGAUGCCAUCACAUGCUGCCAUUGUGGAUGAAAAAAAUGUCAUGAUAAGAAGUCUUCUUGUGAAGAGCACCGCAAUAACUAACCAUAGCAGUCAAUAGGCAGAAGCGGGCGAGCUCGAAAGCCAUAAGUAGGCUGAUCUGGAGCUAUGUGUUGCCAACAGAAGAAGACAUAUUAGUCGAGGGAGAUGACUCAUUAGAAGAAUCCACAACACGCGAACAGUGAGUGUACAAAAGUCAAGGAAGACGAGCAAAAGAAGGAACAUGAAAAGAGAAACUGCCAAGAGAGCCUCGACUAUCGACUGGCAGGGAAGUUACCAGGAUAAGAGAACUGAGCAAGAGCACCCUGCUCAACAAGGAUUGAAUGCAACAUCUUGGAGGUUUAUUCUCCAGAAGAGUCAUCACGGAAUACAAGAAUAGGCGUAGAGAACUUGGUGUGAACCAUGGCAGCAAAACGCUUACACAGAUAAGACCUCACUACGAAAGGAGAUAACGUAUAUCCAGGUGUGUUGAGAGAAGUCAUCUAUAAAUAUAGUACUAGCGAUGACCUCCUUUCGAGGCGGAAGGAGGUGGACCCCAGACAUCAAAGUGAACAAGGUUGAAAGGGUUGUUGAGACAUCAAAGUAAACAAGGUUGAAAGGGUUGUUGAGACACUGUCUCGCUAUGAGCAUAAGGUAACUAUAGCUGUUUACCAAGCCGAGAACCCAGACAGUUUAGAGACAUCGUCGGAGACCGAUCCAAGAAGACCAUGUCAAACUAAGGAUGCGAGAUGAGAGCCACACAAGUGACCCCAGGCGACGAUGGCACUUCUAAGCAUAACUGGUAGACAAGGUAACAGAGGUGGAGAGACUAGCGGCUGUAGCAGCAGAGUCACGUGAUCCAGCAUCCUACGUGCAUGUGCGCUCUCCGUUACCCGCCGAUCCGGCUUGGUGUGCUUCUCGUGUUUGCGGGUUGUGUGCCACACUUGAUUAAGCACCCCACGUUCUCCUACAGUGCGCCCUUGACCCUGGCUUUAGGUAGCGCCGUGUCCUCGGCUUGCCGUGCAUAAUCCAGGUAUGCGCCAACUCUCCGAGCUCCUGCUCACCAUUGGUGUUGCUCGAGCGUGGGUUCUGGUGUCGCGCAUAAAGGGAACACGGGAUGUGUGAUUGUGACAGUUCACAUAGCAACCCGCGGCAAGGCAAAGGAUGCCCAUCCAACUGGCAGGGAGCGGAGGUGGACCCAAAAAGGUGGAUGUUGACUCCAUAGGAGUCUCAACAAUGUGCUUGUCAGUAAGAGGAGCAAGAAGAUCCUAGAUAUACUUCUCUUAGCAAAUAAAGAAGCCAUCAAAGGUAGACUCAGGGAAGUAGCGAUGAGGACCAAGGUCAGACAUAAGAAACUCACUGUGACGAGCCUUCACAAAGGCAAUGUACUUAAGAGUCGUGCAUGGUCAUGAGCACCCGUUGAAAAACGAGCCUUAUUAACCACAGAGACAACGCUCAAACCAGUCAUGAGGGGUUUGCUAAAGAUCAUAUAGAGAACGCCGAAGGCGAUAAACCAUGCCGACUGGAAAAGAAUACCCAAGUGGUGGCUACAUGUAGGCAUUGUUGACAUCAAGCUGAGAGAUAGAUAGAUAGAUAGAUAGAGAGAGAGAGCGAGCCUAUGUUGGCAAACAGAAGCACAUCGAAAAGUGUGCCAAAAGUGGUCAUCUGGGCCAUACAGGAGCAAAUGUCUCAUCGUAGUCAUGACUAUAUGUUCUCACCACUAGACGAGCUUUAUAAAGCUCUAGAGAAAUAUCAUAGUCUCACCCUUGUGGGCCUAGUUACAGUGAUGAGACGAGCAAGAGGAGGAAGGGAAAUGAGAUUCCACUAGCCGACGAGGUGAAGAGCAUUAUUGCGGUGGUCUUCUUGUGAAGAGCACCGCAAUAACUAACCAUAGCAGUCAAUAGGCAGAAGCGGACGAGCUCGAAAGCCAUAAGUAGGCUGAUCUGGAGCUAUGUGUUGCCAACAGAAGAAGACAUAGUAGUUGAGGGAGAUGACUCAUUAGAAGAAUCCACAACACGCGAACAAUGAGUGUAGUAAAGUCAAGGAAGAUGAGCAAAAGAAGGAACAUGCAAGACAAACUGCCAAGAGUGCCUCGACUAUCGACUGGCAGGGAAGUUACAUUGACAGUAAAAACAUGAACAUGAGAAUCUAGAUGUGGAAUACCCAAGUGGUGGCUGCACGUAAAACCCCUCACAAAAUUCACCAUUAAAAAAGACAUUCUUAACAUCAAGCCGAGACGAAGUGACGAAUAAAGGCCGCAACAAGAUGUGUGUGAACAAUUGUCGUAUGGCCCGCAUGAGCAAAAACUCUCAUCGUAAUUAGGACCAUGAUUCUACUGAAAGCCACGAGCCACAAGACGAGAUUUGUAAUGUUCAAGAGAACCAUCAGAGCGAGUCUUAACCUUGUAGACGCACCAAGUAAUGGGACGAACACGAGGAGGAAGGGACAUAAUAUCCGAUGUGCUGAUGUGCUCAACAGUAGCAAUAUCCUCUACCAUGGCAAGGCGCCAUUUGGUAUGAAUAACAUCAAGAUAAGAAGUCUGCUCAAGAAAGUAGCGCCAACGUUUCAUAGCCUAAGGCGGUCAACAGGCAAAAGUGUACGAGGUCGCAAGCCAUAAGAAGGCCGAGACGGAGAAAAUGUCACAUCAGUAGAUGCAUCCACAACACACGAACGACGUGUUUAAAAGUGAGGCAAAUGUGGAAGAAUACGAGCAAUAAUCCUCGAGAUAAGCUUAGGUUAUGGGGACAAGGAAGUCACCGGUGAUGAAGGUUUAGAAUCCCGUGAUAAGCGAAGCGAGGAAAUCAUAGGAGAUGAUGGUGCUGAAUCUGUAAUAAUUGGAGAAGCAGGAGCAGUACGAGGAAUGGAAUAGGGCUCAACGAUAGUGAUAGGAAUGUCGGGAAAAGUGAGAUAACACAUCCUCCACUAAAAAGGUCGGGGAUGAUGGCCACACGCAGCAGGGACGAGACUCACUAAAACUCAUACCGUGAGAAAUAGUCACCCGAUGACCAACCUGAUCCCAACAACAAUAUCUCUUAUGGUCAUUGUUGUAUCCUAUGAACACUCAACAUACUAAGUAGUAAGUUUGGUACAUUGACGAGAGGCAGUAAGGGCACAUCAAACACAACCAAACAAUUGAAGCGCUGAAUAAUCUGGAAACGAUCAAAUAGACUCUCGAAAGGAGAUGACCAUGGUGGAAGUGGAGACAAAUUCAACCCAAAAGUGUGGCGUAAGAGAGGCAGUGACCAUCCAAAAGUGUGGCGGAAGAGAGAGCAGUGACAUUGAACCUAUGAGCCGUCUCAAUAGUUGACGAUGCUUGCCCUCAGCCAUGCCAUUUUUGAGCAUGAGCACCAGGAUAAGAGAACUUAGCAAUGGCACCCUGCUCAACAAGGAUUGAGCGCAACAUCUUGGAGAUUUAUUCUCCACCGAGUCAUCACAGAAUACAAGAAUAGGCGUAGAGAGAUACUAUGUUGGCAAACAGAAGCCACAUCGAAAAGUGUGCCAAAAGUGGUCAUCCGGGGCCAUACAGGAGCAAAUGUCUCAUCGUAGUCAUGACUAUGUUCUCACCACUAGAUGAGCUUUGGAAAGCUCUAGAGAAACAUCAUAGCCUCACCCUUUGAUGUCAUCACAUGCUGCCAUUAUGGAUGAAAAAACGUCAUGAUAAGAAGUCGUCUUGCGAAGAGCACCACAAUAACUAACCAUAGCAGGUGAGCUCGAAAGCCAUAAGUAGGCUGAUCUGGAGCUAUGUGUUGCCAACAGAAGAAUACAUAGUAAUCGAGGGAGUUGACUCAUUAGAAGAAUCCACAACACGCGAACAGUGAGUGUAGUAAAGUCAAGGAAGACGAGCAAAAGAUGGAACAUGAAAAGAGAAACUGCCAAGAGUGCCUCGACUAUCGACAGGUAGGGAAGUUACCAGGAUAAGAGAACUGAGCAAGAGCACCGUGCUCAACAAGGAUUGAAUGCAACAUCUUGGAGAUUUAUUCUCCACCAGAGUCAUCACGGAAUACAAGAAUAGGCGUAGGGAACUUGUUCGUGUGCCUUGGCGUCAAAACGCUUACACAUAUAAGACCUCACUACGAAAGGAAAUAAAGUAUAUCCAGGUGUGUUGAGAGAAGUCAUCUAUAAAUAUAGUACUAGCGAUGACCUCCUUUCGAGGCGAAAGGAGGUGGGCCCCAGACAUUAGAGUGAACAAGGUUGAAAGGGUUGUUGAGACACUGUCUCGCUAUGAGCAUAAGGUAAGUAUAGCUGUUUACCAAGCCGACAACCCAGACAGUUUAGAGACAUCAUCCGAGACUGAUCCAAGAAGACCAUGUCAAACUAAGGAUGCGAGAUGAGAGCCACACAAGUGACCCCAGGCGACGAUGGCACUUCUAAGCAUAAAUGGUAGACAAGGUAACAGAGGUGGAGAGACUAGCGGCUGUAGCAGCAGAGUCACUUGAUCCAGCAUCCUACGUGCCUGUGCGCUCUCCGUUACCCGCCGAUCCGGCUUGGUGUGCUUCUCCUGUUUGCGGGUUGUGUGCCAGCACUUGAUUAAGCACCCCACGUUCUCCUACAGUGCGCCCUUGACCCUGGCUUUAGGUAGCGCCUUGUCCUCGGCUUGCCGUGCAUAAUCCAGGUAUGCGCCAACUGUCCGAGCUCCUGCUCACCAUUGGUGUUGCUCGAGCGUGGGUUCUGGUGUCGCCCAUAAAGGGAACACGGGAUGUGGGAUUGAGACAGUUCACAUAGCAACCCACAGCAAGGCAAAGGAUGCCCAUCCAACUGGCAGGGAGCGGAGGUGGACCCAAAAAGGUGGAUGUUGACUCGAAGGAGUCUCAACAGUACGCUUGUCAGUAAGAGGAGCAAGAAGAUCCUGGAUAUACUUCUCUUAGCAAAUAAAGAAGCCAUCAAAGGUAGACUCAGGGAAGUAGCGACGAGGACCAAGGUCAGACAUAAGAAACUCACUGUGACGAGCCUUCACAAAGGCAAUGUACUUAAGAGUCGUGCAGGAUCAUGAGCACCCGUUGAAAAACGAGCCUUAUUAACCACAGAGACAACACUCAAACCAGUCAUGAGGGGUUUGCUAAAGAGCAUAUAGAGAACGCCGAAGGCGACAAACCAUGCCGGCUGGAAAAGAAUACCCAAGUGGUGGUUACAUGUAGGAUUGUUGACAUCAAGCAGAGAGAGAGAGAGAGAGAGAUAGAUAGAGAGAGAGCCUAUGUUGGCAAACAGAAGCACAUCGAAAAGUGUGCCAACAGUGGUCAUCUGGGCCAUACAGGAGCAAAUGUCUCAUCGUAGUCAUGACUGUAUGUUCUCACCAGUAGACGAGCUUUGUAAAGCUCUAGAGAAACAUCAUAGUCUCACCCUUGUGGGUCUAGUUACAAGUAAUGAGACGAGCAAGAGGAGGAAGGGAAAUGAGAUUCCACUAGCCGACAAGGUGAAGAGCAUUUGAUGCCAUCACAUGCUGCCAUUGUGGAUGAAAAAAAUGUCAUGAUAAGAAGUCUUCUUGUGAAGACCACCGCAAUAACUAACCAUAGCAGUCAAUAGGCAGAAGCGGGCGAGCUCGAAAGCCAUAAGUAGGCUGAUCUGGAGCUAUGUGUUGCCAACAGAAGAAGACAUAGUAGUUGUGGGAGAUGACUCAUUAUAAGAAUCAACAACACGCGAACAAUGAGUGUAGUAAAGUCAAGGAAGAUGAGCAAAAGAAGGAACAUGCAAGACAAACUGCCAAGAGUGCCUCGACUAUCGACUGGCAGGGAAGUUACAUUGACAGUAAAAACAUGAACAUGAGAAUCUAGAUGUGGAAUACCCAAGUGGUGGCUGCACGUAAAACCCCUGACAAAAUUCACCAUUAAAAAAGUCUUUGUUAACAUCAAGCCGAGACGGAGUGACGAAUAAAGGCCGCAACAAGAUGUGUGUGAACAAUUGUCGUAUGGCCCGCAUAAGCUGAAACUCUCAUCGUAAUUAGGACCAUGAUUCUACUGAAAGCCACGAGCCACAAGACGAGCUUUGUAAUGUUCAAGAGAACCAUCAGAACUAGUCUUAACCUUGUAGACGCAUCAAGUAAUGGGACGAACACGAGGAGGAAGGGACACAAUAUCCGAUGUGCUGAUGUGCUCAACAGUAGCAAUAUCCUCUACCAUGGCAAGGCGCUAUUUGGUAUGAAUAACAUCAAGAUAAGAAGUCUGCUCAAGAAAGUGGCGCCAACGUUUCAUAGCCUAAGGCGGUCCACAGGCAAAAGUGGACGAGGUCGCAAGCCAUAAGAAGACCGAGACGGAGAAGAUGGCACAUCAGUAGAUGCAUCCACAACACAUGAACGACGUGUAUAAAAGUGAGGCAAAUGUGGAAGAAUACGAGCAAUAAUCCCCGAGAUAAGCUCAGGUUAGCGAGACAAGGAAGUCACCGAUGAUGAAGGUUUAGAAUCCCGUGAUAAGCGAAGUGAGGAAAUCACAGGAGAUGAUGGUGCUGAAUCUGUAAUAAUUGGAGAAGCAGGAGCAGUACGAGGAAUGGAAUAGGGCUCAACUAUAGUGAUAAGAAUGUCGGGAAAAGUGAGGUAACACAUCCUCCACUAAAAAGGUCGGGGAUGAUGGUCAUACGUAGCAGGGACGAGACUCACUAAAAGUCAUACCGUGAGAAAUAGUCACCCGAUGACCAACCUGAUCCCAACAACAAUAUCUCUUAUGCUCAUUGUUGUAUCCUAGGAACACUCAACAUACUAAGUAGUAAGUUUGGUACAUUGACGAGAGGCAGUAAGGGCACAUCAAACACAACCAAACAAUUGAAGCGCUGAAUAAUCUGGAAACGAUCAAAUAGACUCGGAAGGAGAUGACCAUGGUGGAAGUGGAGACGCAUUCAACCCAAAAGUGUGGCGUAAGAGAGGCAGUGACCAUCCAAAAGUGUGGCGGAAGAGAGAGCAGUGACAUUGAACCUAUGAGCCGUCUCAAUAGUUGACGAUGCUUGCCCUCAGCUAUGCCAUUUCUGAGCAUGAGCACCAGGAUAAGAGAACUGAGCAAGAGCACCCUGCUCAACAAGGAUUGAGCGCAACAUCUUGGAGAUUUAUUCUCCACCGAGUCAUCACAGUAUACAAGAAUAGGCGUAGAGAGAUACUAUGUUGGCAAACGGAAGCCACAUCGAAAAGUGUGGCAAAAGUGGUCAGCUGGGCCAUACAGGAGCAAAUGUCUCAUCGUAGUCAUGACUAUAUGUUCUCACCACUAGAUGAGCUUUGUAAAGCUCUAGAGAAACAUCAUAGCCUCACCCUUUGAUGUCAUCACAUGCUGCCAUUAUGGAUGAGAAAACGUCAUGAUAAGAAGUCGUCUUGCGAAGAGCACCACAAUAACUAACCAUAGCAGUCAAAAGGCAGUAGCAGGCGAGCUCGAAAGCCAUAGUUAGGCUGAUCUGGAGCUAUGUGUUGCCAACAGAAGAAUACAUAGUAAUCGAGGGAGUUGACUCAUUAGAAGAAUCCACAACACGCGAACAGUGAGUGUAGUAAAGUCAAGGAAGACGAGCAAAAGAAGGAACAUGAAAAGAGAAACUGCCAAGAGUGCCUCGACUAUCGACAGGUAGGGAAGUUACCAGGAUAGGAGAACUGAGCAAGAGCACCGUGCUCAACAAGGAUUGAAUGCAACAUCUUGGAGAUUUAUUCUCCACCGGAGUCAUCACGGAAUACAAGAAUAGGCGUAGGGAACUUGGUGUGUGCCAUGGCAUCAAAACGCUUACACAUAUAAGACCUCACUACGAAAGGAAAUAAAGUAUAUCCAGGUGUGUUGAGAGAAGUCAUCUAUAAAUAUAGUACUAGCGAUAACCUCCUUUCGAGGCGAAAGGAGGUGGGUCCCAGACAUCAAAGUGAACAAAG
rnacentral:lncRNA from 1 species